rnacentral:lncRNA from 1 species
UUAAAAUGAAAAAUGAACUAUUUUAUGAGCAAAUUUUAAGAAAUUUUAUUCUUUCUUUUAUUUCAUCCAUUAUCUCAUGUGUUAGAUAUAUAUCACACUUUCGGCUGCUCCAUUCUCUUUCAUACACAAUUUCUUCUCAAAUCUCAUUAUAUCAUGCGCUUCCUCAAUUUUUUUUCUUUCUUUCUAUUUCUAUUAGUUUCAAAUAUUUUGACUAAUUUCAUUCAAUUCUCUCAAAUCAAACACAACGUUAAAAG